rnacentral:rRNA from 1 species
GACGAACGCUGGCGGCGUGCUUAACACAUGCAAGUCGAGCGGAGCGGCGAACGGGUGCGUAACGCGUGAGUAACUGCCCCUCCCUCUGGGAUUACAGUUGGAAACGGCUGCUAAUACCGGAAAGUGGGGAAUGAGUCGCGUCCUAUCAGCUUGGUGGUGGGGUAGGGGUCUACCAAGGCGACGACGGGUAGCCGGCCGGAGAGGGCGACCGGCCACAUUGGGCUGAGAUACGGGCCAAACUCCUACGGGAGGCAGCAGGGGGGAAUAUUGCACGAUGGGGGAAACCCUGAUGCAGCAACGCCGGGUGCGGGAUGACGGCCUUCUGGUUGUAAACCGCUUUCAGCCAUAACGCGGUAGUGGCAGAGGAAGCACCGGCUAACUACGUGCCAGCAGCCGCGGUAAUUC